UUAACUAAAUUAAACGAUUAUAAAAAGAGAAUACGGUGUGAAUCCGUAGCAGUCCUUAGUCUACUGUAACACGUUAACGUGAAGCCAGAUCGCUUUUUAUCAUCGGUACGACAUUACUUUUAUUCAAGGGAAGUAAUGUUUU
rnacentral:sRNA from 2 species